rnacentral:rRNA from 1 species
UACGGAGGGGCCAGCGUUGCUCGGAAUUAUUGGGCGUAAAGGGCGCGUAGGCGGCUUGGUAAGUUUGAUGUGAAAUCCCAUGGACUCGAACCCAUGGAACUGCAUCUCAUACUGCCGAGCUAGAGUCUGGGAGAGGGAAGCGGAAUUCCCGGUGUAGCGGUAGAAAUGCGUAGAUAUCGGGAGGAACACCAAUGGCGAAGGCAGCUCGCUGGGACGGUACUGACGCUGAGACGCGAAAGCGGUGGGGAGCAAACAGGG